GGUUGUGGCUCAGCAGUAGAGUGGUAGAGCGUUUGCCUGGCAUGUGCAAGGCCCUGGGUUCGAUCCUCAGCACCA
rnacentral:tRNA from 1 species